AGGACGACUGCGGGCGGCUACACAUGCAAGUCGAGCGGUAACAGAUCCAGCUUGCUGGAUGCUGACGAGCGGCGGACGGGUGAGUAAUGCAUAGGAAUCUGCCCGAUAGUGGGGGAUAACCUGGGGAAACCCAGGCUAAUACCGCAUACGUCCUACGGGAGAAAGGGGGCUUCGGCUCCCGCUAUCGGAUGAGCCUAUGUCGGAUUAGCUAGUUGGUGAGGUAACGGCUCACCAAGGCCACGAUCCGUAGCUGGUCUGAGAGGAUGAUCAGCCACAUCGGGACUGAGACACGGCCCGAACUCCUACGGGAGGCAGCAGUGGGGAAUAUUGGACAAUGGGGGGAACCCUGAUCCAGCCAUGCCGCGUGUGUGAAGAAGGCCCUCGGGUUGUAAAGCACUUUCAGCGAGGAAGAACGCCUAGCGGUUAAUACCCGCUAGGAAAGACAUCACUCGCAGAAGAAGCACCGGCUAACUCCGUGCCAGCAGCCGCGGUAAUACGGAGGGUGCAAGCGUUAAUCGGAAUUACUGGGCGUAAAGCGCGCGUAGGUGGCUUGAUAAGCCGGUUGUGAAAGCCCCGGGCUCAACCUGGGAACGGCAUCCGGAACUGUCAAGCUAGAGUGCAGGAGAGGAAGGUAGAAUUCCCGGUGUAGCGGUGAAAUGCGUAGAGAUCGGGAGGAAUACCAGUGGCGAAGGCGGCCUUCUGGACUGACACUGACACUGAGGUGCGAAAGCGUGGGUAGCAAACAGGAUUACAUACCCUGGUAGUCA
rnacentral:rRNA from 1 species